rnacentral:rRNA from 1 species
GACGAACGCUGGCGGCGUGCUUAACACAUGCAAGUCGAACGGAAAGGCCCUGCUUUUGUGGGGUGCUCGAGUGGCGAACGGGUGAGUAACACGUGAGUAACCUGCCCUUGACUUUGGGAUAACUUCAGGAAACUGGGGCUAAUACCGGAUAGGAGCUCCUGCUGCAUGGUGGGGGUUGGAAAGUUUCGGCGGUUGGGGAUGGACUCGCGGCUUAUCAGCUUGUUGGUGGGGUAGUGGCUUACCAAGGCUUUGACGGGUAGCCGGCCUGAGAGGGUGGCCGGCCACAUUGGGACUGAGAUACGGCCCAGACUCCUACGGGAGGCAACAGUGGGGAACAUUGCACAAUGGGCGGAAGCCUGAUGCAGCAACGCCGCGUGCGGGAUGACGGCCUUCGGGUUGUAAACCGCUUUCGCCUGUGACGAAGCGUGAGUGACGGUAAUGGGUAAAGAAGCACCGGCUAACUACGUG